CCUGUAGAGAGUCCCAUCCUGACAUAGUUCUUAUCCUGAUGUGCUGGAGUUUUCAGAGAGAGAGAGAGUCUGCUGGUCUUGAAUCACCGGCGAGGGUAGGCAGCACCCCCAGUGGUGCCCACAUCAGAAACAUGC
ensembl:snoRNA small nucleolar RNA SNORA3/SNORA45 family